GACAAAAUAUGGCUCACAAAUUGCACGAAACGUAACUAACUUCGUUGCGGUGAUGUCCCAUGUUGUGCUGUGCGUUUUCGUACAAAUUUCGUAGGUUUAGGGAAAGGACAUCUUCCCACAAUCAGCCCAUCUUUACACACGAUGCAACCUCGGCUUGGCAGUAAGGUAGAUCUGGAUGACUAUGAAGCAGCAGAUGACUCAGAACGUGCCGGGCUGCUGGGUGCCGAGGACGGCAGUCGCGGUGACGACUUCUUCCUGCGCGGGCCGCAGCCCGGUCGGCAGCGCGACUCGGUGGCCGCCGUCCGGGAGCAGGUCUCCGAAGUGACCGGCAUUAUGCGCCAGAACGUGGAGAAAAUCGUGGACCGUGGCGCCAACCUGAGUCAGCUGGAGGAGCAGUCGGAACACUUGGCCUCCACAUCAGAUGAUUUCUACAUCAGCUCCCGACAGGUUCAGCGCCGCAUGUAUCUGCGCGACCUGAAAAUGAAGAUCGCGUUGGCAGCGGUCAUUUUGAUUCUUAUGUUGAUUAUUAUUUUACCGAUCGUUCUCAAGAGCUGAACCGCAGGGAGACAAUGUCUAAAUGGGCUGCAAAGUAGACCAUAGAGCUUGAUUGUCCCCUGCUUUUUGUGGUGUUAUCAGCUUUACUGUGAUGCGAAUGAAACUGAUAAUUAUAGCUGUUGGAAACUUGAUAAAAUGUAGCAUAUUAGAUGUUUUCCAGCAUAUAAAUUCCAUUGUUUGAUUGGGUCGAAUUUAUUGUUGAUUGGUGGGUUCUUAUUUUCGGUUAUGGUAGGGACUAACGAGUAACGAGUGCUCUAAUAUAUGAAAGAAGAUCAUUUGUCUAUGAUUUAAGCAACGCAUCGUUGUGUUAAUUACGUGAUUGUCGUCAACAUAAUCAGGCUCAAAUGUUGUUGCCUGAUCAGGCAUCAUAUGUAAAUAACAACUUUAGAGCGGACGUGUCCCCAUCAACCUUACUGUGUUUCGUGACAAUGGGCCUCAUGUACUCGAGUGUUGUGGUGUACCUUCUGGUGUUGAUGUUGCACUAGCCACUGCACUUUCUGUCUUAUGUUACGAUGUGUGCAGUGUGUGUGUGUGUGUGUGUAGCCGCUCCCCUUUUAUUGCAAUUAAUUAUAAGAGAUGCGGUUCGUUUCCUCUUCUAUGCAUUCAGAAUUUACCAGUAAAUUGUUUAUCUUCAGCAACCAUACGAUGAAGAUAUUUCAUUAUCCUGUGUCUGCAUUGACGGCACCUGCUUGGUUUGGCUCGUGAUACGGCUUUAGUGAUAGAUUUAUUUUAUCGUUAUGGAUAAUGUGUUAUUCGAUGUUGCUUGUGUUAUUGUGCGUCAUUACACUGCUUGCUUGGUGAUGGGUAACAUAUGUCACAAUUAUCUAUUUUUUGUAAAUUGCAAAUUGAUUUAAGUUUGUCCAGCGUCUGUCUUACAGUGUGCUCGUGUUUAUGAUCUCUUUCGACCAAUUGCGAUCUACAUUACCUCUGUGUCUAGGUAAUCUAUAUGUACAAUGGUGGUGUGGCCUAAUCAGAUAUUUUAAUACAUAACGUUUGGUUACAUCUAUUAUA
rnacentral:lncRNA from 1 species